rnacentral:rRNA from 1 species
GAGUUUGAUCCUGGCUCAGGACGAACGCUGGCGGCGCGCCUAACACAUGCAAGUCGAACGAGCGAGAGAGAGCUUGCUUUCUCAAGCGAGUGGCGAACGGGUGAGUAACGCGUGAGGAACCUGCCUCAAAGAGGGGGACAACAGUUGGAAACGACUGCUAAUACCGCAUAAGCCCACAGCUCGGCAUCGAGCAGAGGGAAAAGGAGCAAUCCGCUUUGAGAUGGCCUCGCGUCCGAUUAGCUAGUUGGUGAGGUAAUGGCCCACCAAGGCGACGAUCGGUAGCCGGACUGAGAGGUUGAACGGCCACAUUGGGACUGAGACACGGCCCAGACUCCUACGGGAGGCAGCAGUGGGGAAUAUUGCACAACGGGGGAAACCCUGAUGCAGCGACGCCGCGUGGAGGAAGAAGGUCUUCGGAUUGUAAACUCCUGUUGUUGAGGAAGAUAAUGACGGUACUCAACAAGGAAGUGACGGCUAACUACGUGCCAGCAGCCGCGGUAAAACGUAGGUCACAAGCGUUGUCCGGAAUUACUGGGUGUAAAGGGAGCCGCACGCGGGAAGACAAGUUGGAAGUGACAUCUAUGGGCUCACCCCAUAAACGGCUUUCAAAACUGUUUCUCUUGAGUACUGCAGAGGUACGGCGGAAUUCCCGGUGUAGCGGUGGAAUGCGUAGAUAUCGGGAGGAACACCAGUGGCGAAGGCGGCNUACUGGGCACCAACUGACGCUGAGGCUCGAAAGUGUGGGUAGCAAACAGGAUUAGAUACCCUGGUAGUCCACACCGUAAACGAUGAUUACUAGGUGUUGAAGGAUUGACCCCUUCAGUGCCGCAGUUAACACAAUAAGUAAUCCACCUGGGGAGUACGACCGCAAGGUUGAAACUCAAAGGAAUUGACGGGGGCCCGCACAAGCAGUGGAGUAUGUGGUUUAAUUCGACGCAACGCGAAGAACCUUACCAAGUCUUGACAUCCUGCGACGCAUAUAGAAAUAUGUGUUUCCUUCGGGACGCAGAGACAGGUGGUGCAUGGUUGUCGUCAGCUCGUGUCGUGAGAUGUUGGGUUAGGUCCCGCAACGAGCGCAACCCUUACUGUCAGUUACUACGCAAGAGGACUCUGGCAGGACUGCCGUUGACAAAACGGAGGAAGGUGGGGAUGACGUCAAAUCAUCAUGCCCUUUAUGACUUGGGCUACACACGUACUACAAUGGCGUUAAACAAAGAGAAGCAAGACCGCGAGGUGGAGCAAAACUCAGAAACAACGUCCCAGUUCGGACUGCAGGCUGCAACUCGCCUGCACGAAGUCGGAAUUGCUAGUAAUCGUGGAUCAGCAUGCCACGGUGAAUACGUUCCCGGGCCUUGUACACACCGCCCGUC